AGAGCUGGACAGCUGCGCCCUCGAGCCAAGACCUCAGCCCGGACCCCGGGGACUAGCCCGUCGUCUUCUUUCAGGAGUGCUCUUCUCUCUGUCUCUUGGACUUCCUCCCUGGCGCGCCCUCCCCGCGGCAGCUUCGCUCCCUCCCUCCCUCGCUCCCUCCCUCCACCCCACCCCGCCCUGCCCCCUCCUUGCUCCGCGCCGCCCGCCACGGGGAGGGCGCACAGGGCUCGCGUCACUCCUCCCCCUCUGGACCUGGCGGCGGGCUCCUGCUCUUAUCGCCUCCCGGACUCUCCGGGGUCCUGCUGGCACUACUAAUUCCUCUCGGGGCUCUUUCCCUUUCCCAGUCUGUCCUCUUCAAAGCCGCAGAUACACCCGCAUUCAGCAGGGAGAACUCCCAACCUUGGCCAGACUCGAUUACUCCUAACUUCAGCAAUUCAUUCUCUGUUCCUUCCAGCAGCCCGUAUCCUAUCCCAGAAGUGCCCCCAACCUAGCGAUCCGUGCCCGGACACACCCUGCCCCUCCUCCACCCCCGCCGGACCCUGUGGGGGCUGAGUCUUGGGGAGACUGUGCCCUGGAAGAGCUUCCUUAGCCACGGUCCCCAGUGCCCGAACUGACACCAUCUGUCAACUUCAUUUAGGCAGUGCUGCCCUCAGCCACACGCCAGGGUGCCAGACGUCCCAAGACCACACUGGAAGACCCUGAGGAGCACUGGACCAGCAAGUCACUGUCCCUGGGUCGCUUGGGCUGGCCGAGGACCAAACCCAGAGCCCUGCCUUUGCUAGACAAGCGCUCUACCACUGAGUCAAUCCCCAACCCCAUAUUGAUCAUUUCUGAAGAUGAUAUCACCUUAAGAGGUUCUACCUGCCAGGUGGCUCUCCAGGUGUGUCCUGUGAUUCCCCACGCUCGCCUGCAGGCUGCACUGUUGCCGUGGUUAUCUCCCAGGCUACCACAGCAGGCAAUUCAAACAGGUUGUGUCAACACUGCAGGUAGACACUGAAUCCGCACCAGCCAAGGCUGAAAACGGUUGCAGCCGUGAGAACUGUGGACUCUGAGAAGCAAGGAAAGGUGGGUGUUUCCACUCGGACCCCUGGGUUGUGGUGAGAAAGUGCACCAGUUAACACCUUCGGCCCCAGUUUCUUUCUCUGUAGAGCAAGUGGACAUCUAAAUCUAAGACCCGAAGCCUGACGUUUUCAAAGUACCUUUUGUUUCAUUACUGUUAAAGAGAAUUUUGGUCAUGUAUACAGUGUGUUUGGAUCAAGUCCAGACCCAUUGUCCCUCCACUCCACUUUCUCCCCCACCCAUCCAGCCACGAUUCCCUCCAAACUUCAUAUUGUUUUUCUUAACCCUAGGAGCCCACUCAGAGCUCCAAGAGUGCGCAUGCGUGGAGGACCACCUACUGAAGCAUGGCUAUCUUUCACGGACACAUUCCUGAAGAAAAGUAACUCUUUUUUUUUUUUUUUUCCCCAGCAGCCAUCCUUUACCAGGAGUUUCUCACCUAGUGGAGUUUUCUGGUCAUCUCUGGACUUCAGGCUGGGAUUUGUGUUGGGCUCCAUCUUGCCCGAGUCUUGUGCCUGUAGUCACAGAUGCGCUCAGUUCCUAUGUGUAACUGCUCUCCUGUCUCUGGAAACCACUGUUUGGCUAUUGUCAUCCCAUGGCUCCUACAAUUUUUUCUACUCCCUCUUCCUUGAUCAUCUGUUGUUUAACUUGCUGAGCCUUUGGAGGAAAGGCUGUGAUAUAGAUAUUUGAAGUCUCGUAGGCUCUGCACCCUGACCAGAUGUGAAUCUCUGUACUAACUGGCACCUAUUGCUCCGGAAGACGCUUCAUCUAUGAAAGUAGAUGUAUGGGCAUAAUGAUCUCAGUAAAAAGCAGUUAGAGCCUUGGGAGCCUAGUGCUCACUUUAUGAUUAUUUUACUCCAAGGAAACCUAGCUGUGUGGAUGCAUCCGACAGUUCUCUUGCUGACCAGGGAAGGUUGGGACAGAUCAGAGGCUAGGAGCACAGAGACCCUGAAGCGGGAGCCUCCCAGUCAACAGCCCAAGAGUAGGAGUUUAAAUGGUGGCAACCAGGGGAGAGACAGUUGCAGAGUCCCCAACCCCUGGGCUCUGCACUUUGCUUCCAUCUUGCACGCCUCCGUUUUCCUUUGCACUACUUUCCCCCUAAAACCUCAUUUCCUUUUUCAACGCCCACAGUGGGGCAGUGUGCAAAGAAUAAAAAUAUGUCUCCUUUGCUACAAACGGGAAUACAGACCCUGUUGGAGUGGCACCUUGGCCCAAUGGCCCUUUGUUCUGCUUCUUAAUGACUAAUUAUCAUGCUAUGAAGUGCUUAUGCAACCGUCAUGGAGUUGCCGCCCUCCUGCUGGAGAGGCUGGACGUGUGUAAUCCUCAGAAGCCAUGACUGGCUCUUGGAGUUGUGCAAGGAGUAAUUACCGAAUCCAGCCGAGGCUUGCUUCUUAUUACAGGCUCCAGGCCUUACCCCCACUAGCUUUACAUGCUCGUUAAUAUUUAAACUGCCAAGCAGCAGCAGAAUAUUUUGUAAGCUUCAGGAAUGGCCCCAGGACUCAGUGCCGGCCUAGGACCCAGGACAGGCCGGUUAGGAGAGGGCAAGAGAUCACGUUCAGGUGGGAUUUCUUUGGGGACGUUUGUCCUUUUACAAAUGUCGGCCCUGGAAGGGCUCUAACUUCCCUCCCUUAGCUAGAGAAAAGAAAUUAAACAUCGCCAGUCUUCUUAAGCCUUCUCAUUUUUUUUUUUUAAAUUAUAAUUUCUUCUUGUGGUGCUAGGGGUGGGUCUGAGGGUCCCAUGCUUGCUGGGCAAGUGUGCUGUUGACAGCUACAUCUCCAGCCCCAGGUUUCUCAAUU
rnacentral:lncRNA from 1 species